rnacentral:rRNA from 1 species
AGCUCCAAUAGCGUAUAUUAAAGUUGUUGCAGUUAAAAAGCUCGUAGUUGAAUUCAAAUCUUGGCGAACUUGUACGUGUUAAUUCGCGUUACUUGUUCGACAAGUUUACAAGUUGCGUUCAUCCUUGAUGCUUUUAAACGGGUGUCAUUGGUGGCCAACGAGUUUACUUUGAAAAAAUUAAAGUGCUCAAAGCAGGCUUUAGCCUGAAUACUGGUGCAUGGAAUAAUAAAAUAGGACCUUGGUUCUAUUUUGUUGGUUUUAAGUGCCGAGGUAAUGAUUAAAAGGGACAGACGGGGGCAUUUGUAUGGCUGGGGGAGAGGUGAAAUUCGUAGAUCCUAGCCAGACAAACUACUGCGAAAGCAUUUGCCAAGAAUGUUUUCAUUAAUCAAGAACGAAAGUA